AAUCAAAACUUGGUCAUUCCA
rnacentral:misc_RNA from 1 species